ensembl:lncRNA
CCCUCGCCAUCUGCUGUGGACUCUGGUCUUUGGUUUUUGUGUUUCCAAGGCAGAAAUCUGGGCUACAACUAUCACGAGCAAAGUCUUUAUGAUAGAAGCAAACCUCUGAGGGACAAAGAUGAAGAGGCAGAUAAUUUUCUUCAGAGUUGCAGAGAGCAUCUUUCAACUGAAUUUAGCAUGGGCUGGCACUGCAGGGCUCCCAGGAACCAGACUCUACUACCUACAUACAGCUCAUAUGCCAACAUGUUGCUUUCCUCCAGCAAAGAUGAUCAGUUCUAGGAAAUCAGGAAUGUCAGAGGUGACUCUAAUAAAAACAGCAGGCUAUUUUGCCUCUACAUGUGUAUUUCAAUUUGAAACUGAUCAGUUGCUUUGUCCCUUGGCAGGUGUAACUACAGUUACAGGUCCUUACUGUGAUACAAUGUUCGUUACACUAACACACCACAAAUUACCAUUCCUUUUCAUCAUAUCAGAUGAGAUCAGGUUAAAAUGAUAUUUUGAGUAAAGAAAAAAAUCACAGAAAACACCCCUUAAGUUGUUCUGCUGUGAGGGGGGAACUUCCUAUUCAUGUGGUUUGGGGAUGAAUUUCAAAAUCCCAUUUGUGCUUAUUCUGCUCUGCACUUUAUUUAUUCUGGAAACAAAAGAGAAUGAAAUUCUUGGAAAAAACUUUUAAAAUCCCACUACAGGUAGGUGGUGGAUCACAGUGCUAGAAAUACCAACAAAAGUAAUAUGUUGAUUCAUAAUGAUUUAUUCUCUGUAGUUUUGGGGCCUAUUCUAUCAUCUCAAACCCCAAGAAAGGAACAGAAGAAGUUAGUUAUAAGUAGGAGGAAUUCCCAUACUCAUUACUUCUGCCCACAGCGUUCAGCUGUAUUUAUCAGGACAACUUUGCUAGGUGAAGCCGUGCAAUCAAACAGGAACACAGCUUUGGAGGCAAUUAAGGGAGGAGACAAGGUAAAAAUAAAGCUUUAAAAAGAAACACCAAAUACUGAAUGCCUACUUUCAAACUAUUAGGGUUUUCUUUUUGAAAAAAUGUCUAUGUUUUUGGAAAAAAGUAUGUAUCUGUGUUUAUAAGUGUGUAUUCCUCAAGGUAAAUGAGUAUCACUGUAGACAGAUAGAUUCUUACUUUAUAACCCCUAGUGAAUAUUAGUCAGGUAGGCUGUAUUCAAUUGAAACAGUAUGAACACAGUAUUGUGGUUGGGGUUGAUUUAUAGGAAGGUAAAGGUGGCUGAUGGCUUGUAAAGUCCAUUAAUGAGUGAGACCUCUUGCUGGAAAUCAGGAGAUACUUGGAAUGGAGAAUAUUGUGAUUCUGUUGGCAGGGGACAAUAUUUAAGUGUUGUUACAGUUUACAAAAUCCUUUCAUUUGUAUUAUCUUAACAACUGUACCCCUUAUUGUAGCACACUCAGGCAGAAAAAAAGUGUUAAGCUUCCUUGCAAAGAACCCUGCUAACCUGAUGGCCCACUUGGGUGCCAGACCAAUCUUUAACAAUAGCUGAAGGAGUCCUCUAACUUUGAAAAGAGUUAAAGGGUUUGUUGAGACUGGCAGAACCCAUCCUCUGGAGUGCAUAAUUUAGAGUUUACCAGUUAAUUUAAAAUUAAGUUCAUGUACCAAAAAUGACAAUUAAGAUAAAGUGGCUUGGGGAUCAAUUCCAAUCCCUCUUCACCAGAGAACUGGUAAAACCCUUAGCAGCUUGAGCUCCGGCCAGAUUCUUCCCUUUCAUUGACCUGUCUCUGCCCCAGUUGCUGAUCCUUUGUGUCUACUAUUAUGUCCUUCAUCCCAAGUAAAUCACUCACUUUGGGGAGAGGAGAUACAAAAAGGGAUUAUAGAAAGCUCAGAUUUUCUGAUAGAAAUUACACAAAGUUCAGACCAAGUUCAGGGUCUUCAUAGUGAUGUAAUUAGGGUUCUAGUGCCUGCUCUUUCUAAUUGACAGGAACAUUGGUUUAUGCAGUGCUACAAGGAAAUUCAUGGACUCUAUUAACCAGAAAUCUAGCAAUCCAGGCUUCCCCCACCCGCUUGUUUGAAACUAUUUUUCAACUGGCCUCCAUUGUACUCCAAAUCACCAAAAGCUAGGACAAUGAAUUUUGUGGGAAUAUUAACAAGGUGGUCUAAAGCGGUGGCAUUCUGCAACAUCAUUUCUACCAGCCUAAUCCUGAGAACGUCCAGAAAAUACAAUAAUUCUAUUUUGUUUCCCUACAAAAAUAGUCUAUAUGUGCCAGGCCCAUGGUUCACAGUAGGAGGUAACUGAAUUCUGCUGCAGUCCAUCAGUUGAAAAGCCUGUGCCUGCUACUACAGUGAAUAAUACAGAAUAAUUCAGAAUAAUACAGAAUAAUACAGAAAAAUUCACUGUGGAACAAAAUUCACUGCAGAACAAAAUUCUACAGUGAAUUUUGUUUGAAUUGAGAGAGACUCUGCCUGGGUUGGCACUUGACAUUCAAUAAAAAUUUUAACAAUUGUCUUGAGCUUUAUGAGUUUAGGGAACAUGUUUUAAUAAUCUGAUUUUUAGCGGAGGAGAGCUUUAGAUCAUCUAGUCUUAGGUGUUUUUGAAAUGUAAAAGUGCAGCGACAAAUCUUAUUUGUUUUUGAGAGCUAAAUGCAUUAUUGAGAAUAUGAAUGUUUCCGGACUCCAGUGGGUUUACUUUCUUCCUUGGGCAAUAGACUAAUCCUCCAACUCCACUAACUAUUUGCUAGAGAAAAACUAAUUUCACUUCUGUCAGUAGAGUUCUUGGACAAAUUUGAUUUUCUCUUGAUGAAAAUUAAUAUUCGGUCGGGCAUGGCAGCUCACAGCUGUAAGCCCAGCACACUGGGAG